AGCGUAGGCGGAUAGUUUAGUCAGAGGUGAAAGCCCAGGGCUCAACCUUGGAAUUGCCUUUGAUACUGGCUAUCUUGAGUACGGAAGAGGUAUGUGGAACUCCGAGUGUAGAGGUGAAAUUCGUGGAUAUUCGGAAGAACACCAGUGGCGAAGGCGACAUACUGGUCCGUUACUGACGCUGAGGCUCGAAAGCGUGGGGAGCAAACAGGAUUAGAUACCCUGGUAGUCCACGCUGUAAACGAUGAGUGCUAGUUGUCGGCAGGCAUGCCUGUCGGUGACGCAGCUAACGCAUUAAGCACUCCGCCUGGGGAGUACGGUCGCAAGAUUAAA
rnacentral:rRNA from 1 species